rnacentral:misc_RNA from 2 species
ACACCUCAACUCCCAUGGUUCGCCAUGGUGAGCUUGGACUUUGGGGGUUUUGCUGGCCCACGGUCGGCUCCUCUCAAAUGAAUUAGCCUGCCAGUGUUUGGUGGCAUCACGGGUGUGAUAAAUAUCUACGCUUGCGAUUGUCCACCAGGUAACCUUCAGCAAUGGGGGUUCGCUGGGGCUCACAGAUGUCUCUCCCUCAGCGAGGACAGCUUUUUUAAC